rnacentral:lncRNA from 1 species
UCAAUCUUGGUCCAUCAUGGUAUAUAGAUUAUAUGAUAUUUUUCAAUAUUUUAUAAACUUAAAAGUAAGUGUCCAUUAUUAAUACUAAUAAAUGACAUGUUGGGCCAGUUCAUAUAUUGGGCUACAUCUCACACUGGGCCCAUAAAAAAUGGGCUAAAAUGGGUAACUCAAACAUAUAGGCAUAGAGGCAUAGCUAUUCAGUGGUCUUGGAAAGGGCAGUAAAGAUUUCUGAUAUUUGACCAAAGGGAACAGAGUUUGGUUAAUGGUUUGUUUGAGUUACAAAUCCACAUAUUAUAUCCUUUUCUUGAACACUACAAAAUUAAAAAACAAAGUUAAGUUUGAUUGGAUGAAUAUCCAAAUUUAUUGAAUCCCUAAUAAUGAAAGCCUCAGUUUUUGUAAUAGUAAUUAUUGCACUCAAAAUUAAGUAACAAUGGCUGGGUUAAGAAGAGUACAACUCUUUUCUUCAAUUUUAAUAUAUCAUUUUUCUUUUCAUCCCAUUUUGAUAUUUUAUUCUUUUUCAAUUUAAGUAUUUUGCUUUCCCAAUUUUUAUGUUCAUUUUAUUUUGGUCUCAAAUUUAUGCUUUCAAGGGUUUUUUUUUUCUUUCUUUUUAAAUAUAUAUAAGCAAAAUAUUUAAACAAUUUUGAAAAUAAAAAAACUACAACCCCACAACAAAAAAAUAUUUGCUUGCACCAUUAAUUUAUCACUCGCCUAAUUUGAGCUUUAAUAAUCUUUUUUAACAUCUUUUAUAUUUGUUACCCGAGUUUGAACCAAAUAAUACUAGAUUUAUAGAUUAAAAAAAAUCAUUAUUUCAAAAAUACAAAAUAAAAAUGGCAGAAAAAGAGAAAAAAGAUGAUAAAAAUGAAGUAUAAACAUGAAAUAUUUAAAAAAGAAUAGUCAAACUUUUUUAUUUGGUUACACGAGUUGUAAAUAUUUAUAUUUUCUCGAUCUACAAGAUUACGACGUCUGAAGAUGUGUGUUGGAUGUUCUGACGCUUAAUCUUAUCGGAAGUUCUUAUUUUUUUUUUUAAAAAAAAUACCUUCCAUUAUUAAAUGGAAUGCAUUAUAUAUCCAUAAAGAGCCUUACCAAAAAAAUUAAAUCAAUAUUACUUUUAAAAAAAUUCAUUUAAAGUUUAAAAUUGCAAAACUGUCUUAGAAGACCAUUUUAUAUGAACCAAAAUGCAGAUUCAUCACAAAAUCAUAAAAUAAAGAACAAACAAUACAAAGUUAAAUGAAAAAAAAAAUGUACCACCUGGUUUGCCAUGACCUGUGAUCCCUACAACAUUCGUAACGAUAGCAUGCGGUGUCCUCUUUCCAUUCUUUUCAGAUUAUUUUCAGAUUUGUGAAUAAAGAGAGAUCAAAACAAAAAAAACAAGGAUAAAAAGGAAAAGGAGAAGGAAGAAGAGAAUAGAAAAAGAAGAGAAAAGAAGAAGGAGAAGCAAGAAGAGAAGAAAAGAAGAGAAGAAGAAGGGAGAGAGACGUUUGAGGAAAAC